ACUGGCGGCGUGCUUAACACAUGCAAGUCGAACGAAGCAUCUCGCCCGAAGAAAUGGAGUGCUUGCACAAAGUGGAUUCAAUUGAGAUGACUGAGUGGCGGACGGGUGAGUAACGCGUGGGUAACCUGCCCUAUACAGGGGGAUAGCAGUUGGAAACGACUGAUAAUACCGCAUAAGCGCACAGUACCGCAUGGUACAGUGUGAAAAACUCCGGUGGUAUAGGAUGGACCCGCGUCUGAUUAGCUAGUUGGUGAGGUAACGGCUCACCAAGGCGACGAUCAGUAGCCGACCUGAGAGGGUGACCGGCCACAUUGGGACUGAGACACGGCCCAAACUCCUACGGGAGGCAGCAGUGGGGAAUAUUGCACAAUGGGCGAAAGCCUGAUGCAGCGAACCGCCGCGUGAGUGAUGAAGUAUUUCGGUAUGUAAAGCUCUAUCAGCAGGGAAGAUAAUGACGGUACCUGACUAAGAAGCACCGGCUAAAUACGUGCCAGCAGCGGC
rnacentral:rRNA from 1 species